GGAUUAGCGGGUUCAAAAGCAGGUCAGGGGGAGCUAAGCGUGGCGACCAAGUCCGUGCUAGGUCAAGGUCCCUGGCAAAGGCUGGCUCGAGCGAUCUGCAGGAAGCCGUACCAGUCUGCAGCUGCCCAGCCAGGGACCAGAGAAAUGCAGCAGGAACCCAUGCUCGUCUGGAAUAAUUCACAGGACCCCGUUCGAGCUCCCUGGUUGAGCGUGUGCUCACCUGAAAGACAGGGUUUCUCUUUUACGUUUUAACCUUUUCUUUCUUUUCUUCUUUAUGUUUGAGACAGGACCUCACUCCGUAGCCCAGGUGGGCCUCCAGCUCAGGGCCAUCCUCCGGUGGAACCCCUGAGAUCAGAGGUGUGUCUCAUCAAGUCCCACCUCUUUGUUUUUAUACUCCCUCCUUUCUGACCAGAUAAAUACAUCGACCCACGCAGGGGAGAAGUUUCCCACUUCCAGCUCUGGGGAAAGAGCGGAAACCGAGGUGGCAGGGAGCAGUGUAAAGCCGAGGUGGCUUGGGAGAGGCCUGGGCUGUGGAGUCCCCGGGCGGCUCCCGCGACUUCUCUGGAAUGCUUCCGCGCUGCAGGCCCUGGAUGCUGGCGUGGACGUGCAGG
rnacentral:lncRNA from 1 species